CAGCCGCCGCGGAAUACGUAGGUGGCAAGCGUUGUCCGGAAUUAUUGGGCGUAAAGCGCGCGCAGGUGGUUUAAUAAGUCUGAUGUGAAAGCCCACGGCUCAACCGUGGAGGGUCAUUGGAAACUGUUAAACUUGAGUGCAGGAGAGAAAAGUGGAAUUCCUAGUGUAGCGGUGAAAUGCGUAGAGAUUAGGAGGAACACCAGUGGCGAAGGCGGCUUUUUGGCCUGUAGCUGACACUGAGGCGCGAAAGCGUGGGGAGCAAACAGGAUUAGAUACCCCCGUAGUCCCUGUCUCUUAUACC
rnacentral:rRNA from 1 species